UUUUAUACCGCCCGGCGAGUGAAUAGCAUAUCAAUAAGCGGAGGAAAAGAAACCAACCGGGAUUGCCUCAGUAACGGCGAGUGAAGCGGCAAGAGCUCAAAUUUGAAAGCUGGCUCCUUCGGGGUCCGCAUUGUAAUUUGCAGAGGAUGCUUCGGGUGCGGCCCCUGUCUAAGUGCCCUGGAACGGGCCGUCAGAGAGGGUGAGAAUCCCGUCUGGGAUGGGGUGUCCGCGCCCGUGUGAAGCUCCUUCGACGAGUCGAGUUGUUUGGGAAUGCAGCUCUAAAUGGGUGGUAAAUUUCAUCUAAAGCUAAAUACUGGCCGGAGACCGAUAGCGCACAAGUAGAGUGAUCGAAAGAUGAAAAGCACUUUGAAAAGAGAGUUAAAAAGCACGUGAAAUUGUUGAAAGGGAAGCGCUUGCGACCAGACUCGCCUCCAGGGUUCAGCCGGCAUUCGUGCCGGUGUACUUCCCUGGGGGCGGGCCAGCGUCGGUUUGGGCGGCCGGUCAAAGGCUCCCGGAAUGUAGUGCCCUCCGGGGCACCUUAUAGCCGGGAGUGCAAUGCGGCCAGCCUGGACCGAGGAACGCGCUUCGGCACGGACGCUGGCAUAAUGGUCGUAAACGACCCGUCUUGAAACACGGACCAAGGAGUCUAACAUCUACGCGAGUGUUCGGGUGUCAAACCCGUACGCGCAGUGAAAGCGAACGGAGGUGGGAGCCCCCUCGUGGGGCGCACCAUCGACCGAUCCUGAUGUCUUCGGAUGGAUUUGAGUAAGAGCGUAAAUGUGGGGACCCGAAAGAUGGUGAACUAUGCCUGAAUAGGGCGAAGCCAGAGGAAACUCUGGUGGAGGCUCGCAGCGGUUCUGACGUGCAAAUCGAUCGUCAAAUUUGGGUAUAGGGGCGAAAGACUAAUCGAACCAUCUAGUAGCUGGUUCCUGCCGAAGUUUCUCCGCGGGGGAAUGCACAAAA
rnacentral:rRNA from 1 species